rnacentral:rRNA from 1 species
ACGGGUGAGUAACACGUAAAGAACCUGCCUCAUAAACUGGGACAACCAUUGGAAACGAUAGCUAAUACCGGAUAACAGCAUUAACUGCAUGGUUGAUGUUUAAAAGUUGGUUUUGCUAACACUAUGAAAUGGCUUUGCGGUGCAUUAGCUAGUUGGUGGGGUAAAGGCCUACCAAGGCGACGAUGCAUAGCCGACCUGAGAGGGUGAUCGGCCACACUGGGACUGACACACGGCCCACACUCCUACGGGAGGCAGCAGUAGGGAAUCUUCCGCAAUGGGCGAAAGCCUGACGGAGCAACGCCGCGUGAGUGAAGAAGGAUUUCGGUUCGUAAAGCUCUGUUGUUAGGGAAGAAUGAUUGUGUAAUAACUAUACACAGUAGAGACGGUACCUAACCAAAAAGCCACGGCUAACUACGUGCCAGCAGCCGCGGUAAUACGUAGGUGGCAAGCGUUGUCCGGAAUUAUUGGGCGUAAAGCGCGCGCAGGUGGUUUAAUAAGUCUGAUGUGAAAGCCCACGGCUCAACCGCGGAGGGUCAUUGCAAACUGUUAACUUGAAUGCAUGAGAGAAGAGUGAAAUUCCUAAUGUACCGGUGAAAUGCGUAUAGAUUAGGAGAAAACACCAGUAGCGAAAGCGGAUUUCUGGCCUGAAACUGACACUGACGAGCCAAAGCGUGGGGAGCAACAAGAUUAGAUACCCUGGCUAGUCCACGCCCUCAAC